GAGCAGAUGAUGAGAAGUAUUUGUCUUCGCUGAGAGAAAUCUCCAUGAAGCUUCAAAUAUCGAGCUUUUUAAAACUGAUGCUCA
rnacentral:snoRNA from 1 species